rnacentral:tRNA from 1 species
GGAAGCAUUGAGCAAUUGGUUGGCUCGUCAGACUGUAAAUCUGAUUUCUUAAAUGAACGUGUAGGUUCGAAUCCUACUGCUUCCA